AUGAAAAGGGAAAACCGGAAGUAGCAGCCUUGUGCAGUUUCCUGGUACUUGCUCAUGUGGCUAACGAUUUUGUGCUGUCUUUAAAGAAGAUUACUGUGGGAAAACUGCUCUGUGAAGAACUGUUGACCUUGUUCUUUCAUAAGAUAUUUGUUUUUUAGAGUGAAUGACCAGCUGCUGCAAGACAUUUUGAGUUCUGAGCAGAGAGUUUACUGAGUGAGUAUUUUGAGAUAUUUUAUAACAUUUAGUUGGCCAUAUUGUAAGGAGUCUGUGUGAUUUGUUUUAUUUUUUAAUCAUGCCUGCUUCAGUUGUUUAUGCACUUAAGUUUGUAAUCAUUGUACAGUGCUUUAAGACAUAACUUUGCCAUCAAAAAGGGUUUUGUUUGGUUUUGAUGCUACAGCAGCUGUCACUGUAACACUGUUUUUAUUAAAAAAGAG